AUUGAACGCUGGCGGCAUGCUUUACACAUGCAAGUCGAACGGUAACAUGAAGAAGCUUGCUUCUUUGAUGACGAGUGGCGAACGGGUGAGUAAUGUAUCGGAACGUGCCCAGUAGUGGGGGAUAACUACUCGAAAGAGUGGCUAAUACCGCAUGAGAUCUCUGGAUGAAAGUGGGGGACCGCAAGGCCUCACGCUACUGGAGCGGCCGAUAUCAGAUUAGGUAGUUGGUGGGGUAAAGGCCCACCAAGCCUGCGAUCUGUAGCUGGUCUGAGAGGACGACCAGCCACACUGGGACUGAGACACGGCCCAGACUCCUACGGGAGGCAGCAGUGGGGAAUUUUGGACAAUGGGCGCAAGCCUGAUUCAGCAAUGCCGCGUGCAGGACGAAGGCCUUCGGGUUGUAAACUGCUUUUGUACAGAACGAAAAGGCUCUGGUUAAUACCCGGGGCUCAUGACGGUACUGUAAGAAUAAGCACCGGCUAACUACGUGCCAGCCGCCGCCGUAACAC
rnacentral:rRNA from 1 species